GGGGCAGCUCCCUUCUCUGCCAGGCCGACUGCCUGGAGCCACCGACAUGGACCGAAACCUCUCCAGACUGAGCUGAAGUGAAUCUCUGCUCUUUGGUGGGGUCUGCCUGUGACGAGGAAAGCCUGUGAGUGCUUGGCCUGUGCAGGGCUGUGUGCUGCAGGCCGUUUGGGAGCACUCAUGACUGGCCAUCGGGGUGUGUGCUGACCGGGGGCUCUGCCAGGUCCCGGAACCCCAGAAACCAACCCAGGAGAGAGGCCCAGGGUCAUGAACCUCCUGGAGUGGCUCUGAAAACCCAGAUCUUGCUCACCUGCGCUCCCUGUAGGUCCUCAGGGGCUCUCACAGGAGGCGUGGUGAGGGUGCCAAGUUUCCUACAGCUGCACUGCGACCCUUGGGAAGGACGCA